rnacentral:lncRNA from 1 species
GAACCAACAGGGAAAAAAGCAAAUUGUUUUGUUUCCUUUAAAGUGAAUUUAGUUUAACGAUUUUAAUAUAGAAAGAUUUGAACACACAUAAAAAGCUUUAUGGUGUAUUUUUGCACAGAAUCAUUUUAAAUCCCAAAAGUAAAAAAUACCAAGCAUUCGAUGUGUCUGUUUUUGUAACCCAAUCUGACAAUGUGCUUUAGAGUGAUGAAAAUGAGCAAGAGCGGCAGUCAGACACCGAGGAUGGCUCCAGCAAGAGGGACACUCAGACGGAUUCUGUUUUCAGGUAUGACAGCAGUUCCACGUCAUCAAGCGAUCGGUAUGACUCCUUGCUGGGUCGUUCUGCCUCAUACAGUUACUUAGAAGAAAGGAAACCAUAUGGUAGCCGACUAGAAAAGGAUGACUCAACUGACUUCAAAAAGCUUUAUGAACAAAUCUUAGCUGAAAAUGAAAAACUAAAGGCACAGCUACAUGACACAAAUAUGGAACUAACGGAUCUAAAGUUGCAGUUGGAAAAAGCUACCCAGAGACAAGAACGAUUUGCUGACAGGUCACUAUUGGAGAUGGAAAAAAGGGAACGAAGAGCUCUAGAAAGAAGAAUAUCUGAGAUGGAAGAGGAGCUCAAAAUGUUACCAGACUUAAAAGCAGACAACCAGAGGCUAAAGGAUGAAAAUGGGGCCUUGAUCAGAGUUAUAAGCAAACUUUCCAAGUAGGACAGAAAACACACAAGCGAAGCAGCGGGACUUGCACACACUCCCCAGUGGACCACAUUGGCAGUCACUGGACGCCAGAAAGAACCCCUGGAGACUGUCAUUUUCCGAUAUCCUGCCAAACGCCCUCUUAUCUAGGAGUUUUGUUUCGUUUAAUCUUCUGCCCCACCCCCUUGGUUAUCAAGACCAUUGUUUCAUGUUAAAGCCGCUGCUGAGAAGAUUUUUUUUUCAAUGACUGAGAAAACUUGUUUACAGCUCCAGCAAAUAAAGAAAGUGUUCAAGGCCAGAUACGCCUCAGAUAUUUAACCAGUAAGCCUUAGUUGUACAUAAAUACUUUUGUGUCAACAAAAACUUCCAGCUCUCACAGAAGACAGUUAGUCAACAGGUUUGUUUGUUGUCGUUAUUGCUGGUAUUUUCUUUUUCUCUUUUUGAUGUGCCACAGUUUCUAGUUUCUCCAUAUUUAAGUUGUUUGCUUUACAUCUGCAUUUGGGUUUGCAUUUUUUCCUUCCUCGUGUCAGCUCUCUAUGUUCACAGCCUUCCCAUUUACAGAAAACUUUGCUCUCCGAGCAUCUUGUCACGUGUUAGGCCGAUGUGUGUCUGCCACCUGGAACUGAAGUGCUCGGUGGAACACUUGCUGUCACUGUUUGUGCAAUACGCAUCCAUUUCCUACAUGACUGCUUUGACGUCCAUUGAGAUCUGAUCUUGGGAGUCCUAUCUUCUGCCCUCAUCCGUCACUUUUUGUUUUUUAUUGUAGUAUAAGAUGCUAGAUUCUGUAAUCUUCACAUUCAUUUUAGCAGGUACUGAGUGACGCUGUAUAUAUAAAUAAGUGUAUUGUUUUGAUUUUUUAGACCACCACAUGGCAUGCUUGACCAUUUUUUUAAUUCAGAUGUCUGCUAGUGCACAGUAGGCGACUCCACAUGGUGUGUAAAACAGCUUGUCACAGUGGGGCAGAGGACCUCAGCAGUUCACGGUUGAUGGAGUCCUAUCUUUACAAGUUUUUCUACUGUAAAGUGCUUUGACUUUUGUUUUCAUUUGGUAGUAUUCAAACCUAAUUAUAAAGUUGCAUAAGAUAACUGCUUCACAUUUCACAUGCCUAUAUUUAUCUGAGUGCUGUCUAAAACUGUUGUGCUAGCCAAAAUAGUGGUGUGGAAGCCUUUGCAGACUUCAUCUGUGAGUGAUGUUAAGUGCACUGUUAAUGCCAUGUGAAGAGGCAUCAGCUUUGAUACCACCUUCAUGUUCAGACCAUUUUUAUACAUUUUAGUGGCCUUUUUUUAAGGAAAAAACUAAGCAAAAGGAAGUCCAUAAUUAAAGUGGCAUUUAUUUGAACAAAUAACUUUUCUAUUUUCAUCAAACCAUGCAAAAAAAUAUUACAUCUUCCUGGCACAUAACUGUCUCCUUAACCACUGAACAGUUCAGCCAUUUGAAUAAAUUGUACAUUGUAAAGCUUAGCAGCUGACUGUAUUAUUAAGUGUAUUGUAUACUAUAUUAAAUGUGAAUUUGUACCCCUUCAUUUUAAAAGGUCAUUGUGUUCUACUGCCUAUUUUAGAUUACUUUGGGGUUGGGAGAGGGUGUUUUGGUAAGUAGAAUUUAAGUCCUCUCUCUCUUGAUUGGUUUUAUGAAGAUCUAAGGUUAUACUCUUACUACCAAGCUCAGGAUUCUUGACUUUAAAGGUACAAGGAUAGGUGUGAGGAUUUUAUUUUUGGUUAUAUUUGAACUGUAUGAAUGGUGGGUCUGAAUACAGAGUAUUUCAUGGUCUAAUGAGAAGGUAAAAUGCGCAGAUAAUUGAUGAGUUUGAGUGACUGCCACAUGUUCUGCGUGCACAACAGUUAGGCAUGCUGUGGUUUCUAUUUGUGAGGUCUGGAUGCCUGUGAAGAGUGAUUAAAUACAUGUUUCUAAUAUUUUAGUGUUUUGUAUUUAGGUUAUUUAUUCUUUGUAUCUACAAUUGAACAGCUACUGUGCUAUAUUGACUUUAUUGGUAGUACUGAGCAGACCUUGUUUCUGCAUGAAACUAGUUGCAAAACCCACUAUUUUGGAAAUAAAAAAAUGUAUUUUGACAUAUACAAAUAAAAUGAAUAAAACUAUUUUAAAUGUGUGAACUUUUAAUGAAAACAGCUUAGAUUUUGUUCUGAGAUAUUUAAAUUCUGCAUGGGUAUUUUUUCACUAAAUGCUUUACUUGGAUACCAGUUUGAAUAAUUUUUGAAAUUGUAAUAUUGUGAUAAUUUGCACAGCAAUGUACAUGCUUAUCUGUAAAUGCGAACCUAACUGCCAUAUUUAUGCAAUACGUGUACCAAUUUGGACAAAUGUUUAUGUAUUUUACAUAAAGCUAUCUGUGUGCAGAGUCUGAGAGCUAGUUUUUUAUGCUGAGUGGAUAAAAAUACUGGUGACUGAGAUUCCAGUUAUUCUGUAGCGUGAGACUCCAUUCCAUAAACAUUUGCAGUGUUUC